AGCCUAAACACCCCUAAAAAAGUGCAUGGCAAUAAUAAAACCUUAGGAGAAGUAAGCUCUCUAUCAGAGCAUCUCCUAAGGUUGUGCGUCGAAAGGUGUGCAGGUGGUGAAAGCCAUC
rnacentral:sRNA from 12 species